UGCGCGAGUCACAGGUACUCGCAAAUAUUCACGAACCCUAAGGCGCAAUGAAAGUGAAGGUCAGGCAUCGCACUGACUGAGGCAGGAUCCGUCCGGGUGAGCGAAGCUCUUCUUCCCUUCGCGGGUUCGUCCCGCGGGGGAGCUCGGCGGCGCACUGCCAGCCCAUCUCGGCCGCUUCCCGUCGGCGAGGUGGAGCCAGAGCGCACACGUUGGGACCCGAAAGAUGGUGAACUAUGCUCGGGCAGGACGAAGCCAGAGGAAACUCUGGUGGAGGUCCGUAGCGAUUCUGACGUGCAAAUCGAUCGUCGGACCCGAGUAUAGGGGCGAAAGACUAAUCGAACCGUCUAGUAGCUGGUUCCCUCCGAAGUUUCCCUCAGGAUAGCUGGUGCUCGGAAAGGAACGCAGUCUCAUCCGGUAAAGCGAAUGAUUAGAGGCCUUGGGGCCGAAACGACCUCAACCUAUUCUCAAACUUUCAAUGGGUGAGAAGUCCGGCUUGCUCGACUGAAGCCCGGACCUUACAACUAUAAGUUGAUCGAAAAACGUAAUGAACGAGGGGCUUCGUGCCUGCUCGGUAGACGGAUGCGAGUGCCCAGUGGGCCAUUUUUGGUAAGCAAUUUGGGGCCCUUUGGGAAAAAGGGAGAUUGGGCC
rnacentral:rRNA from 1 species